UACAGAGGGUGCAAGCGUUGUUCGGAAUUACUGGGCGUAAAGCGCGUGUAGGUGGCGAUGUAAGUCGGGUGUGAAAUCCCUCAGCUUAACUGAGGAAGUGCACUCGAUACUGUGUCGCUUGAGUGUUGGAGGGGAUGGCGGAAUUCCCGGUGUAGAGGUGAAAUUCGUAGAUAUCGGGAGGAACACCGGUGGCGAAGGCGGCCAGCUGGCUGGAUAUUGACGCUGAGACGCGAAAGCGUGGGUAGCAAACAGG
rnacentral:rRNA from 1 species